UCGAGGAUCUUUGGCAAUGGACGCAAGUCUGACCAAGCGACGCCGCGUGGAUGAUGAAGGCCUUCGGGUUGUAAAAUCCUGUCGAGGGGGACGAAGCCGCAAGGUUGACCGAUCCCUGGAGGAAGGGCGGGCUAAGUUCGUGCCAGCAGCCGCGGUAAGACGAACUGCCCAAACGUUGUUCGGAAUCACUGGGCUUAAAGGGUGCGUAGGCGGCUUACCAAGUCAGGGGUGAAAUCCGGCAGCUCAACUGUCGAAGUGCCUUUGAUACUGGUGAGCUCGAGGGAGGUAGGGGUCCGUGGAACUUCUGGUGGAGCGGUGAAAUGCGUUGAUAUCAGAAGGAACGCCGGUGGCGAAAGCGACGGACUGGAUCUCUUCUGACGCUGAGGCACGAAAGCUAGGGGAGCAAACGGGAUUAGAUACCCCCGUAGUCC
rnacentral:rRNA from 1 species